CCCCCCUGCCGCAGUGCAUGAUGGUAUUGCCGCUGUGUGUCGGUCCCGUCGUUCAGCUCCCGGUGCCUCCGGUCCCUCCGGUCCCUCCGGUGCUCCUGUGAUGGUGAAGAGGACAAACACCGGUUCACACGAGAGCUAGCCUCCUGGGAGGCGAGUCCCAAUGCCAUGGCCUCCAGCCACAGCUCCUCCCCAGUGCCUCGUGGAGGCCGAGAUGGGAUCUAUCACAAGGAGCGGGAUCCCUCCCCCCCUCGCUGCCGGCCCAUCCGGUCCCUGCCCGACGUCUGUCCCAAGGAGCCCACCGGUGGGGACAGCUGCCGUCUUCACUCUUUGUGAGGGGCGUGGCCUGUGUGACGGGCCGUCCGUGGUGGCGGAGCACGACCGGUGGACGGUGUACAGCUCGAAGGUCAACCUCCCCGCCGCGCUGAACGACCCCCGGCUCGCCAAACGGGAGUCCGACUUCUUCACUAAAACAUGGGGGCUGGACUUCGCGGAGACGGAGGUGAUGCCCUCCUUCUACCUCCCCAACAUCACCCGGGAACACUUCGCGCCCUACCUGCAGGAGACGGCUCAGAGGGAAAGAAUCCACGAACGCUGCAAGACGAUCUGUCCCAACAAAGACGACGUGGACGCCGUCUCCAGUAUCACCACCAACCACGAUAAAUCCAGAGCUGAGCUCGAACAAGUCCCGAAGAUCUUCAUGAAGCCCGAGUUUGCUCUGGAGGACCCCGCCACCUUCAACGCCGUCCUGCCCUGGUCGCACUUCAACAGCGCCGGGGGGAAGAGCAGCAGAGACGGGGCCUCCUCCAAACUGCUGCAGGAGAAGCUGAGUCACUACCUCGACGUGGUGGAGGUGAGCAUCGCCCGGCAGAUCUCUCUGCGCUCCGAGGCGUUCUUCCACGCCAUGUCGUCGCAGCACGAGCUGCAGGACCGGCUGCAGGAGACGCAGCGGGCCGUCGCCGUCCUACGGGGCCGGACCGCCGCCAUCGACCGGGUCAUGUGCCAGGGCCCUCUGCAGGCCGUCCGCACCGCCCUGACCCGCAACAACUGCGUGAAGCUGCACAACAAGAUGAAGCUGAUGGCGGCGGUGCAUCAGACGCAGCCCACCGUGCAGCUGCUGCUCUCCACCUCCGAGUUUGUCGGCGCGCUGGAGCUCAUCUCCACCACCAAGGAGGUGCUGCAGCAGGAGCUGCAGGGAAUCCACAGCUUCAGACAUCUGGGCUCCCAGCUGUGUGAGUUGGAGAAGCUGAUCGAUAAGAUGAUGGUGGAGGAUUUCAGCAUGUACGCCCGCAGCGACCUGAACCGCAGCCUGAAGGACGAGCCGCAGGUCCUGGAGAAGGUCCACAAUCCAGACACUGCCUCACAGAAGGAGCGUCUGGAGUCUCUGGUGUUCGGCCUCCUGCGGCAGAGGAAGUUGGACUUUUUGGACAUUUACAGCGAUGAGAUGAUUCUGGCUGCGAAGGCCAUCGUCACUCAGUGUGUAGCAGAAAGUGUUUUGCACAUAGAAGAAAUUGACACUGAAGUCGUCACUAAGCUAGCUGACCAGAUGCGUGUGAUGACGUUUCCUCAGUGGUUUGAGCUGCUGAAAAACGUCUUCGAGAGUUUCCUCCUCUUCCUGCAGAGGAUCAAGGCCACUCUUAACGUGAUCAAAAAUGUGGUUCUGGAGGUUCUGGCUUCGAACCAGAAGAACCGGCUCCUGGAGGAGGCCGGUGCGAGGGCUUUAGACGCGGAGGCUUCCCAUGGCCCGUCGGUCCUGCAGGGGGAGGCCGAGCUGGCCUACCUCACCCACGAGGGGCUGUUCAUCAGCGACGCUCUGAACGAGGCCCAGCAGCAGCAGCAGCAGCAGCAGCAGCAGCAGGUCCAGGAUCAGAGCUCUGUGAUGGGCUCCAGGAUCCAGCAGAGCCGGGCGGAGGCUGCCAGCAGCGACUCUACCUGUGGGACCUCAGAGACCUCCUUCAGCAGGGAGCAGAGCUUCAUGUCCGGUGAGAACAUGAUGCCCUCUGAGCUGGAGCUGAACCGUGUGAUCAAUAACAUCCAGGAGCUGCUGUACUCCGCCUCCGACGUCAGCCACGACCGCUGCGUCAAAGUCCUCACAGCCAGAGCCAAGGACGGCUCUCUGGAGCGCCUGAGCUCGGCGGAGUUCGUGUGUCUCUCUCAGGCGGUGGAGGGUUUCGUCAGGGACACCGAGGAGCUGUGCGGCCGGCGCAGCGUCUCCCUGAGGGGGGCGCUGCAGAGCCAGGCCAACCGCUUCGUCCACCGCUUCCACGAAGAACGCAAGACCAAGCUCAGCCUCCUCCUGGACAACGAGCGCUGGAAGCAGGCCGAGGUUCCUGCUGAGUUUCAGGAUCUGGUGAACUCCAUCGCUGACGGAAGAAUAUCACUACCAGAGCGCAAAAUCCCAGGUCCAGAGGACAGGAAGCCCACUGACUUUCUGCUCAUCAACGGACAGAAAUACGCCGUCGUCGGGACGGUUCUGCUGCUGAUCCGGAUCUUUCUGGAAUAC